rnacentral:rRNA from 1 species
AAUGCCAGUCUUAGAGAACAAUAACCAGCCUUAUAUAACAUUGCUCGCGAUAAGCACAAUAUUAUUGCACACGUGCUCAGUUCAUCCCCGCCGAAUAUUUCGUUCAGGCAGGAUUUGAUUGGCCCCCGACUUCUGUCAUGGCAUAAUCUUGUGUCCCGGCUGGAUUCGAUUAACCUGACACAAGGCCGGGAUGUGUUUCGCUGGAACCUUACUACAUUAGGGUCUUUCGUAGUAGACUCUAUGUACCGUGCGCUCACGCAUUCUGAGGUACCAGUGAAUAAUAACAAUAAAAUUUGGAAGUCCAAGAUUUCACUAAAAGUGAAAAUCUUCAUGUGGUAUCUUUGUAGGGGAGCUGUGUUAACCAAAGACAACCUCGCACGGCACAACUGGCCAGGGAGUAAGAAGUGUUGUUUUUGUACUCAUGACGAGACAAACACCUUUUUUUUCAAUGCAAAUUGCACAUUCUAUGUGGUCAGUCAUCCAAAUAGCAUCAAAUUUAUAUCCGUCCAUAAGUGUUGCCAAUAUAUUUGGUCACUGGUUGGACGGUAUUCCAAAAGGUUUAAAGCACUUAUCAAGGUGGGAGCGUAUGCCUUAAUUUGGUCGCUCUGGCUAUGUAGAAACGGUUUGGUUUUUAAUGGAAAAAAUGUUUCUCCUCUGCAGGUUAUUUUUCGUUGUACGCACUCGUUUCAUACGUGGUCUAUGCUACAACGACCGGAACACCAACCGCUGUUUAAGGCGGUGUGUAUGCGGUUGGAGCGGAUGGCUACGUAG